UUUCCUACGGGAGGCAGCAGUAGGGAAUUUUCGUCAAUGGGCGCAAGCCUGAACGAGCAAUGCCGCGUGAACGAGGAAGGUCUUCGGAUCGUAAAGUUCUGUUGAAGGGGAAAAAGAGCGGAGAGAGGAAAUGAACUCCGAUUGAUAUUACCCUUCGAGGAAGUCGCGGCUAACUACGUGCCAGCAGCCGCGGUAAUACGGAGGUGGCGAGCGUUAUCCGGAAUGAUUGGGCGUAAAGGGUGCGUAGGCGGCCUGCUAAGUCUG
rnacentral:rRNA from 1 species